AAUAUUGCGCAAUGGGCGAAAGCCUGACGCAGCAACGCCGCGUGGGUGAUGGAGGCCUUCGGGUUGUAAAGCCCUGUCGGGUGGAACGAACAGGUCCUGAGGAGGGACUCUGACGGUACCAUCGGAGGAAGCACCGGCUAACUUCGUGCCAGCAGCCGCGGUAAUACGAAGGGUGCAAGCGUUGCUCGGAAUUAUUGGGCGUAAAGCGUACGCAGGCGGUCUACCAAGUCGGGCGUGAAAGUCCGGGGCUCAACUCCGGGAAGUCGCACGAAACUAGCAGACUUGAGUUCGGGAGAGGGGUGUGGAAUUCCCAGUGUAGAAGUGAAAUUCGUAGAUAUUGGGAGGAACACCGGUGGCGAAGGCGACACCCUGGCCCGAAACUGACGCUCAUGUACGAAAGCGUGGGUAGCAAACAGGAUUAGAUACCCUGGUAGUCCACGCCGUAAACGAUGGGUGCCAGAUGUUGCGGGUAUUAUUCCUGCAGCGUCGUAGCUAACGCAUUAAG
rnacentral:rRNA from 1 species